rnacentral:tRNA from 1 species
GGGCGGUUAGCUCAGCGGUUAGAGCGCCUCUCUUACAAAGAGGAGGUCAGAGGUUCGAGACCUCUACUGCCCACCA